rnacentral:sRNA from 1 species
ACAGCAGCCUUUCUCUGGGCAUGGAUAGGCCAACAACAUCUGACAAUGAGGAAUGUUUGCUUUUUCUUCGUGCUCUGUUUCCAAAUUAAUGUUUUAUGAACUGAAAAUAUGCCGGCAUUAGCACAGAAGGAGGUUUUUACACAAGCAGAAGGGAAAGGAAUCAAGCAUGCCAGCAGUUACCUACACCCCUGCUAUGAGGGUCAUCAAUGCAGAUUAUACCAUUUCAGGAACCCUUCCUCACAGCAAUGGUGGAAAUGCUAAUAGCCACUACUUCACCAAUCCCAGUUACCACACGCUCACCCAGUGUGCCACAUCCCCUCACGUCAACAACAGGGACAGGAUGACUGUCACGAAGUCAAAAAACAAUCAACUGUUUGUGAAUCUUAAAAAUGUGAACCCUGGGAAGAGAGGCCCUGUGGGGGACUGCACUGGGACAUUGCCGGCUGACUGGAAACAUGGCGGCUACCUCAACGAGCUCGGUGCUUUUGGACUUGACAGAAGCUAUAUGGGAAAAUCCUUAAAAGACCUGGGAAAGAAUUCUGAAUAUAAUUCAAGUAACUGCUCCCUAAGCAGUUCUGAGAACCCAUAUGCCACUAUUAAAGACCCACCUGUACUUAUCCCGAAAAGCUCAGAGUGUGGUUAUGUGGAGAUGAAAUCGCCGGCACGAAGAGAUUCCCCAUAUGCAG